UUCACUUCUCAAGCUUUUGGCUAAGAUCAAGUGUCAUAUCUGUGCUUAUCAGUUUAAUAUAUUUUUGAUCAGAGGACUUCAUAUUAAAUGGGGUUUGGGGCAUGGGAGUUCGAUCUGGGGCUUGCUCCCUCCACUUUGCACAUCAUCCUGGUAUUGCAGUGCCUCCAGGAAUGAUGCACCCUGU